rnacentral:rRNA from 1 species
UACGUAGGGGGCGAGCGUUGUCCGGAUUUAUUGGGCGUAAAGAGCGUGUAGGCGGCCAGGUAGGUCUGCUGUGAAAACUCGAGGCUCAACCUCGAGACGUCGGCGGAAACCAUCUGGCUAGAGUCCGGAAGAGGAGAGUGGAAUUCCUGGUGUAGCGGUGAAAUGCGCAGAUAUCAGGAAGAACACCCGUGGCGAAGGCGGCUCUCUGGGCCGAUACUGACGCUGAGGAGCGAAAGCGUGGGGAGCGAACAGG